rnacentral:lncRNA from 1 species
AGUUGAAGUGGUAGGAAAUUUUUACAUAGGAGAGUAUGGUGAUCAUAUUUGCAUUUUAGAAAAUAAUGGAUAGCAGUUUGUUAGGGGAACAAAGGACAGAGACAGGGAGACUAUUUAAAACAUUAAUAAAAAAUACCAGUGACAGAUGAUGAGGCACCUACCUGAUGGGAAUGGAGAAGAGGAGAUGGAUUCAGAAACUACUUAGGAGAGGCAGGCAGUCCAAGGCUGAUGCCCAAAGAAGCCAUCAAGACCCGUGCUACUUCCAGCUCCUUCUGUCCUCAUAAUCAUAGAUGAUUGCUCCACAUCCAGAGUCUCGCUCAGUUUCCAGGCUGGAGUGUAAUGGCGUGAUCUUGGCUCACUGCAACCUCUGCCUCCCAGCUUCAAGUGAUUCCCCUGCUUUAGCCUCCCAAGCAGCUGGGACUACAGGCAUGCACCAGCAUGGCCGGCUAAUUUUUUUUUGUAUUUUAGUACAGAUGGGGUUUAACCAUGUUG